UGGUGUUGAUUGCGGCGAGGGCCCACCCGUUCCCAUCCCGAACACGGAAGUUAAGCUCGCCUGCGCCGAAGAUACUUGGCUGGAGACGGCCCGGGAAAAUAGGUAAUGCCAACACA
rnacentral:rRNA from 1 species